AGGCCUGUAGCUUAGUGGUAGAGCAUCAGCUUUGCCUGCAGAAGUUUCCAGGUUCGAUCCCCGGGCGGAGCUG